rnacentral:rRNA from 1 species
CGAAGCGAAGCAGUGAUGUGAAGCAAAUCGCACCAAAAGACCGGUCCCAGUUCGGAUAAGAGGCUGAAACUCGCCUCUUUGAAGUCGGAAUCGCUAGUAAUCGCAGAUCAGCAUGUUGCGGUGAAUACGUUCCCGGGUCUUGUACACACCGCCCGUCAAACCAUGAGAGUCACCAACACCCGAAGUCCGCUUUGGCGGCCUAAGGUGGGGGAGAUGAUUGGGGUUAAGUCGUAACAAGGUACC